GUUUCGAUUAUGGCUCAGGACGAACGCUGGUGNNNNGAUCGUNCAUGCAAGUCGAACGAACUCUGGUAUUGAUUGGGAGGCAUCAUGAUUUACAUUUGAGUGAGUGGCGAACUGGUGAGUAACACGUGGGAAACCUGCCCAGAAGCGGGGGAUAACACCUGGAAACAGAUGCUAAUACCGCAUAACAACUUGGACCGCAUGGUCCGAGCUUGAAAGAUGGCUUCGGCUAUCACUUUUGGAUGGUCCCGCGGCGUAUUAGCUAGAUGGUGGGGUAACGGCUCACCAUGGCAAUGAUACGUAGCCGACCUGAGAGGGUAAUCGGCCACAUUGGGACUGAGACACGGCCCAAACUCCUACGGGAGGCAGCAGUAGGGAAUCUUCCACAAUGGACGAAAGUCUGAUGGAGCAACGCCGCGUGAGUGAAGAAGGGUUUCGGCUCGUAAAACUCUGUUGUUAAAGAAGAACAUAUCUGAGAGUAACUGUUCAGGUAUUGACGGUAUUUAACCAGAAAGCCACGGCUAACUACGUGCCAGCAGCCGCGGUAAUACGUAGGUGGCAAGCGUUGUCCGGAUUUAUUGGGCGUAAAGCGAGCGCAGGCGGUUUUUUAAGUCUGAUGUGAAAGCCUUCGGCUCAACCGAAGAAGUGCAUCGGAAACUGGGAAGCUUGAGUGCAGAAGAGGACAGUGGAACUCCAUGUGUAGCGGUGAAAUGCGUAGAUAUAUGGAAGACACCAGUGGCGAAGCGGCUGUCUGGUCUGUAACUGACGCUGAGGCUCGAAAGUAUGGGUAGCAAACAGGAUUAGAUACCCUGGUAGUCCAUACCGUACACGAUGAAUGCUAAUUGUUGGGGGGUUUCUCGCUCUUUCAUUGCUUGCAUCUUACUGCAUUUAUUCAUUCUGUCUGGGGA
rnacentral:rRNA from 1 species